UUUGCCUCGUGUUCUUGUAAGUGUCCAGCAGAUGACGCUGUUGCGUUUUUUUUUAUUACGCUAAGUGUUUACUGAAUCGGGUAUAUAGUCGCACGCGUGACGUCAGCACAGCGCGACAGCCGAAUGCCACUGAACGGUAGCUGACAACGACGCUGAUGAUUGAUGCGGAUUGAGGCUGAGAACGGAGUUAAGUGAAACGUGGUUGCUGAGCAGCGCCCAUCGCCUCGCUGGGGGAAUACUGGACAGCGCAACGGCAGGGGAGAUAGCACUGUCUGUUGGUUUCCUGGGAGAGCGUGUUCUUCAGUUGGGGCAGGCUAUCCGCCAUGGUGAAUGUAAGUGCAAGUUGGUAUUGUAAAUAGGGACUGUUUUCUUUAUUUUUAUAAUAUGUCCUGUAACCAAAUGCAUUUAAUAACAUGACUGUAUUUUGGAUGUGUGCUUAGUAGUGUCUAUUCUUUGUUUUAUAACAGGAAUAGUCCACUACUGUUGUCUUAUUUUGGGUCUUAUUUUGGUCUUAUCUUUUCUUUUCUUUCUUCACCGGUCUCUUUGACCUGAACCAGUUUUUUGUUGGGAGUCCUGAGUUUCAGUUUAUGGACAUUGAAGAUACUUUUUGUUCAUAAGGAAUAUAUUGAACCUUGAAGAGAGGUGUUUCUUGUUGCUACCUAAAUGUUACAGAGGAACCUAAGUUAUUUUGUGGAAACACACAAACCAAACAAAUUAAUGCUGCUCUCCUUUUGGGGAACAGUCGGGAAAUAAAAGACCCACAUUAUUUUUGGAGCUGCCUGUCGUGUGCGGUUUUUUUCUCGUUCCUACACCUGGCCCCACACCCACACGCCACCGCCAGCCCACAUAUUGGUGUCAGAAGUGGGAUUUCCAGUUUGAUUUGUCCCGUUUUGAAUUUGCAUUUUUGUCAGGACUUUAUUAAUAGGGUUUUUUUAGUGGUAUAAGACAACAGUAGUGGUGAAGAGGAGUCCCAUCCGCCUUGUUGUGAGUGGUACAGAGCUUCUGAGGGGCCGAGCGAGGACAAGCUGAGCUGCUCGGACGAGACACGGCUGCUCAGGUGCCAGGAGUUACACAUCGACCCCAAAAGGCCAAGGGACAGCACAACUCAAAAAAGGACUGUGUGACCCCAGAGGAGACAUUCACAAAAUGUCCGACAACGAGGAAGGACUGGACAUGUCCAUGCCUGGAACCAGCCAGGCGGGAGGUGAUUCUGCUACUGCUUCGUCUGAGAGUGGUAACAGUGGUAAUCAGUUAAUACAGUUACAGUCACAAAUCACUGAACUGAGUAGAAAACAUGAUGCUGUAAUGUCAAGUAUUGCUUCAUUGGGUGAUGUACAAACAAGGUCCAUUGUGUAUGUGCCUAGAGAGAAACAGAUAGUACCAUUUAGUGGUGAUCCAGGUAAGGAUGCUCACUCUGUCGAUGAGUUUAUUGAAGAGGUAGAGCGGGCUGUCAGUCUAAGGGGUCUGAGGGAACAUGACCAAGUAGACUUUGUGAUGUCACUGCUAAAGGG